CCCAUCUCUCCCUCCCCGCGUCGCUCCGUCAUUUCCCCUCCGCCUGUGACACGCCUGAGCGGCGGACAGCUCCGCACGCGAUUGGAGCCGAAUAAGAAACCAGCGAGGUGACGAUCGCACUGGUGGUCUCAGUUUUUACAGGUUUCGCCGGUAGCAGAGGAGACAUGGGUAAGAGGAGAAGAAAGGAGACAUAGGGGGACCAGAUGAGCCGACUCGUCCAUGUGAUGUCACUCCGGCUGCAUCUUCUGUUGGUUGUCCCUCCUACCCAUGUAGAUCCCAUGUCAACAAUUUGCCACAAAAGGCAUGUAGGAUCGUCCAUGUAUAAGAAAGACCAUAUUAAUUCCAGAUCUGCUUGCAUUGCAAUGUAACUUAUCUUCUAAAAGUAGGGACAUGGUCAAUGAGAUAAUGAGCUGUCUGCAAAAGCUCAUUCCAAACUAAAGGACAGAUGCAUGCUACAACCAAGCCCCCAGAAUUUACCUAGAUUCUUCAACAUGGAAGCUGCAAAACAAUCGGUAUUUUUUCCACGGGGUAUUUGGCCUUAAUUUGUAUGCACAUUGAAUGAGGUAUUGUUCCUUGUUAUUGGAUGAGCACCCAACUGUCAAGAAAGAAAAUGCACUGUACUAAAGUUGUGUAUUUUCUACUGAUGUGCGACAGAUCAUACGAAAUAAGCUUGCUAUUUUAAAGGAUGGAGGAAUUCAAUCGCUGGAUUACUGUACUCUAGGUGGAUAUAUUAAUGAGAUUGUUGAUAUGACUUUGUUCUUUAUUUGAUUUUUCAUGUUCUAAGGUAGAUGAGGUCACUUGUAAUAUUGAUAUAUGCAAAAUAGCAAUUUUUAACCAAUCCGAUCAUUUUUUUCUACGGAGUUUUACCACAAACUUUCUCAUAUUUACACAUGAAUGUGAUAAUUUUCUUGAUUGUUUUCUUGCGCCGUCAGUUUAUCUUUUCACUUGCCAGUACUGUAUUAUAACUCUUUACCAAACUUUUUAAGCCAUUCACAUGUUUCCACUAUGCAAUUCAUGCUUGUUCUCACUCUGAAGUUGACAAUGUGCAGUAUUAAAGUGUUGGUCUGCUCCUUUUAGUUUUUAUGUAACUAUUUGAAAUAUUCUUAUAUUGUGAUGCGACACUAUGUAAAGUUACCUGAAAUCAAGUGUGUCAUCGGUUUUAUCCAUGCUACUAAGAAAACUGCUUUUACUCUGAUGUACUCAUUGGCUAUCAACUUUUAUGAUCUGCAUUUUACUUUUUUUUCUUCAAAUUUAUUUAUGUGUCUGAGUAUGCAGGUAACCUUUGGUGUUUUCAAGAUAGAUAUCUAAAAAAAGUGUUGUGUCUUGAAGUAGUAAGGCUGCAAGAUGCACCAUUUAGUAGUUGGGAGUUGGUCGAGAUAUUUCCUUCUCAAUGCACAUCUGACAAUGUAUUGAAGUGGUACAGCCGGUCCUCUCAUAUCCAUUAGACCCAAAAUAAAAACCAGUCCUCUCCUACAAUUGUACUAUUUAGCUCUUUUGUACUACCAUUCAAUAUAUAGGUUAGUUCAUCUAAAAAUCUAUUUAGGUCAGUUAAUUAUAUCCCAUGUUUUAUGCCUCCAUAUAUAGUUUGCCAGUGUGUAGGUACAAAUUAGUGACCAGGGAACACUGCUGCUCCAACCUACCAGCGAACACUACUGCUCCAACCUUGUGUCCAAGUUAUCUAUGAACUGGAGCUACAACAUGUACAAGAUUGAUUGAACCCUAUUGCUAAAGUUGAAGUUGGAGAGAAAGCUCGGAUUUCAUUA